UACAGAGGGGGCAAGCGUUGUUCGGAAUUACUGGGCGUAAAGGGCGCGUAGGCGCCUUCUAAGUCGAACGUGAAAUCCCCGGGCUCAACCCGGGAACUGCGUCCGAUACUGGAAGGCUUGAAUCCGGGAGAGGGAUGCGGAAUUCCAGGUGUAGCGGUGAAAUGCGUAGAUAUCUGGAGGAACACCGGUGGCGAAGGCGGCA
rnacentral:rRNA from 1 species